rnacentral:misc_RNA from 1 species
AGUGCGGAGUGCCGGCGGAAUGUGCAUCGCCGCGUAUCAGUUGUGAGAGGUGGUUGUGCGUGCGUGCGUGUGUGCGUGCGUGUGUGUGUGUGUGUGUGUGCUGUUCGUCCUUUACGAUCAUCGCUGUCAGCGCCUCACCCUCUCUCGCACAGCUCUGGGAAGAAGAGGAGCCGGUUAGUGGUGCACCGGUUAUUGCGCGGGGCUACUGCGAAACGCGUGCAAGGGAACGUCGUCGACAUCACGCGCGGUCAUCACGCCGGUAUCGCAGCGGGAGUCUUUGAAAAACCUCCCGCGAAGGGCUGUGCGCGUUGCCUCGUUCAGCAGUCGGCACGACGCAGAUAUCGCAGCAGCACCGGAGACUUCAACGAUAUUGGUUUUAGCGCUGCCAGCGGAUAUGAUCAAGCGCCCUUUCCGGCGUUUGCUGAGCUUCUGUUUGCAAGGACAGCGAGCCAUGGCGGUGGUCCUGGCGGCCUGCUGCUGCCUGCUCGUUCUUCUGGGUCCCGGCUCGCUGGUCGAGGGCCAAGAGUCAGGCGAGGAGGCAUCUACGCUGUCAGAGACUUCCUCAGUGGAGAAAGAGUCGACUCCAGAUCGUGAGGAAGUGUCCACCCACGAAGCUCUUUCGCACCCGGAACUGUCCUCUGACCACGAGCCUGUUCCGGCCCAGGACGGAGCCACUGCGGCCGCUUUGCGCUCGGACCCGUGUGCAUCGAGCGCCGACAACUGCUCCGAGUGUCUGAGGCAUCCGGAGUGCGCAUGGUGUUCCCAGCAGAACUUCCCACGAGGUGUAGCGCGUUGCAACCCUGCCUCGGUGCUCCUGGACAGCGGCUGCAGCGAGGACGCCAUCGAGGACCCGAAGAGCCGCAUCGACGAAAUCACGCCCGUAGACAAGGCCGGGUCAGACGUGCAGCUCCAACCCGGAGAAGUUCACAUUACGCUACGACCAGGUUCGAAGCAGACGUUCACCGUUCGUUACCGCCAGGCGGAGGACUAUCCGGUGGACCUGUACUACCUCAUGGACCUCACACAUUCCAUGAAGGAGCACAAGGAGAGGGUGGCUGAGCUCGCUGACGACCUGGUGCAGCACAUGCUGAACGUGACCAAGAACUUCCGCCUCGGUUUCGGCUCCUUCAUCGACAAGGUGGUGCUACCGUACGUCGACACCACGCCCGCCAGACUGCAGAACCCUUGCCACGACACCGAGUGCGACCCACCUUACGGCUUCCACCACCAGCUGGCGCUCACGUCAAACAGUAGCCUCUUCACCGAGAAGGUGUCCUCUGCCGGCCUGUCCGGCAACCUGGACAACGCAGAGGGCGGCUUCGACGCCAUCAUGCAGGCUGUCGUGUGCAAGGAGGCCAUUGGCUGGAGCCAGAGGUCCAGGAAGAUCCUUCUGUUUGCCACGGACUCCAUCUUCCAUUCGGCCGGCGAUGGACUGCUCGGAGGCGCCGUCAAGCGUAACGACGAGCAGUGCCACUUGGACGAGGACGGCUUCUACUCGGAGAGUAAGGAACAGGACUACCCUUCCUUGAGCCAGAUCGUGCGCGUGGUGCAGCAGAACAAGAUCAACCUGAUCUUCGCGGUUCCCGAGAAGGCGUUCGGCGUGUACGACACGCUCAGCUCGUUCAUCGACGGAUCCUCCGUGGGCACGCUCGCCGGCGACUCCUCGAACAUCGUCCAGCUCGUCCGGGACCAGUACUACAAAAUUCGCUCCGAAGUGGUCCUCCAGGACAACGCUCCCGACUUUCUCAAGGUCAGCUACAAGAGCAGCUGCCUGCGCGGGUCUAGUUCCAGGGGCCUGAGCAAUGCCUGCGACGGCAUUAAAGUCGGCGACGAGAUCGAGUUCCAGGUGACCGUGGAGCUGGAGCAGUGUCCCAGCGACGGUGUCCAGGGUGGCCAGAGCACGGCGUUCCGCAUCUCCCCCGUGGGAGUGAACGAGUACGUGCAAGUGCGCGUGGAGCCCAUCUGCCGCUGCGCCUGCCAGGACGUCGUGGAGGCGAACAGCAGCGCGUGCAGCGGUCGCGGCAGCGCCGUGUGCGGCGCCUGCGAGUGCGAGACCAGCUUCUACGGCAAGCACUGCGAGUGCCUCGGCAGCGAACUGGAGCAGCACACGGCACUCUGCCGCAGUGACAACUCGAGCUCUGAGGUGUGUUCACACCGCGGCGACUGCGUCUGUGGCGAGUGCAAGUGUUACGACCCGCCGGGCGUUCCCGGAGGUCGCGUGUUCGGCCAGUGGUGCGAGUGCGACACCUUCUCGUGCGAGCGCGACUCCGAGGGCCGCGUGUGCGGAGGACCCGACCGGGGCGUGUGCUGCGGCGGCGAGUGCCGCUGCCGACCGGGCUGGCAGGGCUCGGCGUGCGGGUGCUCCACGGGCACCGAGACGUGCGUGGCGCCUCAGGACACGGACAGCGGCCGCCUGUGCUCGGGACACGGGGAGUGCGUGUGCGGACGCUGCUUGUGCCACGCCGACGCCCGGGGACGCUUCGCCGGACCCUUCUGCCAGGACUGCGCGGCCUGCGUGGGCCGGUGUUCCGAGUUCCGCAGCUGCGUCCAGUGCGUCGUCUUCGAGUCCGGCGAGAUGAGCGAGGAAGAGUGCCGCUUCAACUGCAGCUCUCUCAACAUCCAACCCGUGGAUGUCGCCGAAGCCACUGAUCCCGAGGAGCGUAAGUGCAUCUUCAAGGACGACGACAGCUGCUCCUUCUCGUUCGUGUACUCGUACGACGAGAACAACGAACUAGUCAUCAGGGCGCAGACCACCAAAGACUGCGGCCGUGAGGCGCUCACGUGGUACAUCGUGGGAGGCCUGGUGUGCGGCAUCGUACUGGUCGGCCUGCUGGUCGUGUGCAUCGCUCGCUUCCUCGUCUACCUCAGGGACCGCGUCGAGUACGAGAAGUUCGACAAGGAGAUCAAGAACACCCAGUGGGGCACGGACACGAACCCAAUCUUCAAGAAUGCCGUGUCGAACUUCCAGAAUCCAACGUACGAGUCCGGGCAGCGUGCGGUCGUCAGCUGACCGACGCACUGGCCAUUGUGAUGACGUCGGAUGGAGCGUUCUGCAAUACGUGUUUAGAACCCAGCGACACAAUAUUUUUUCUGCUGAGUCUACAGUUCUCCACGAGAACUCUGACCGGGCCAUCCUUUAUACGGGCGUGCGGUGAUCGAGUUGCACGAAGAACCUGUGUUUUCGGCUCCAACAAUGCGAUAUGCUGCAGCAACAUGCAUUGUUAUUCUGGGCAUUGUCGAAUUCCGCCAUCUUGUUGAUAUCGCUGUCUUGUCCGCUUUGAUUGGUUCAGAAGGUCAUUACGCCUAGUAGCACGCAUUGUUGCCAUAACGGUGAAGAAACGCCUGCAACGUUAAGGCAACAUUCACGACGUUCUGGCAACGUUGCGUCAACAGUUGGUAUUUCUAGCGCUUUUGUGAUUGGUCCAAAUGUCCGCCAUAUUGUAAUGACGGAACUUGACGAUCAUGCAGGACUGCUUCUUCCGCUGUACUUCGCGGACGUGGUCGCUCAUGCGACCAGUGCUUUUACGUACUUGGUUCUGUUCCUUUGCUGACGAGACUGCAAGCUGACUGCGCGAGAUAACUAGUGCACCGCCCAUUCACCAAUGUAUACGGGAGCCUUUAGACCCCGUAAGCUGUGAAUCCGUCCUCAGCACAGCCGUUAUCACUGCCGAUUUGUUUCUGUUCCUCCUUCACAUGCAUUUUGUAUUGAUGCCGACUUCGGAUAACUCGAUUUUCCUUUUAAUUCGGCCCUGUGUUAAAGUUCUAACUGGGAAGACGCUAACACUUCUUAAAAUAUUGGUAUUGAUUUGGAUGUCUGAUGUAAAUUUCGAACCACUUUCCAUGACUUCAACCUAGCGACGGCCGCUAGGUUGAAGUCGUAGAAAUUGGCAUAUGUGGUUAAUUCUUGCAUGUGGCAUAUGUCACCAAUAACACUGUCAACAGUAUAGUGAAACGAGGUGGUGUUUUUUACAGUGGCCACAAAAAUAAUCUCGCGCUCAAUGAACUUCAGAAAAUGUGCCUUUUAUGUUUUCUACGAAAUGGACGAAAUGGGGUGUUGUGCCAUAUGAUACAGAGGUGUACAAGUCGCUUUUCGAUUUUUUUUUUGUGUGUGUGGGUGUGAGUCGAAGAAGCGCAGUAUAAGCAGCGCACAUUUCACUUUGAGUUUUCUUAAUCAUAAUUCAGAAGGUAUGUUACAGUCGUCAGCGCUCAAAAGAAGCUCUCGCGGGUCCAUUGUUUUCAUUAUGAUUCCUUUAUCUUGCAAGAACCUUUUUUUUUUAUCUUAGCAACUUCGUAUUUAUCUUACCUUAGCAAUUUACUCUGGCUGCAUGCUGCGAUACUUUAGGUAGAACACGAUACACAAAUGUUGUUUGUUCCUAUUUUCUUAUGUGCAGUAUUGUUUUACAUCAUGUGCCAAAUUGUCCAUGAAUAAUGGAAGGCUGUGUAGAAAAAACAUGGGAGGUAGCCAGGAGAAGUGCACAAACAGAAGGCAGGUCGCCGCCACCGUGAAGUUUCUGCACCAUGCAGCUCACUGUAUAUAGCCAUAAUAUCCUGGAUUGCACAGUAUCUAUAGGUUGGAUUACCAUGACUGCGCUGAUUCCGACAGCUUCCAACAUGGCUCUAGUUAGUGGUUUAUCGCAAAAAAAAAAAAAAAAAAUGCCUCUGUUACAUUUAAAGGAACGGAACACCCAUCUCUGGGCAGCUACUAUAAUCAUUUCUGUACCAAAACCAUCCUAAUGCAGCAAACUUCUGCUGUGAUCAGAGUUACAGAGUAUGCUCUACACUUUGUAGUAUGGCCGACCUCGCGUCUCCUACUCCGCCCAUGCAGCACCGCUGCAAAAGAAGUUCCAUUCAACGCUCACAGUAUUGGUGCGCCCGAACAAUUUAGCAGAGGACACGAAGCCAAGCCUCCGGGCGUUACCGCACUUUUAUCAUAGCUCCACAUUGGAUCCAGUUCCCGUGACGUCAAGGACACAUUGGAGUAAGUGACGUCACGGCGACGUGUACGCCGGAGGGUGUGAAAGUUCGGGUGCCAAAUUUAAUCAAGGGAACUUCGCCCUCCACAUGAGAACUGAAUUUUAAAAGAAUAUGUUUUAUUUGAACUAGCGGGAUUCAGUCUAGCUGUUUGGUGGGCCUUUAACAACUGGUUUCGUUUUUGCCGUCUGUCAACUUCCUUGUGAAACAGUCCUGCCGCCUAUACAUACUUACAUUCCUCGUAUGGCGCUGAUGUGUAUCGCGAAUGUCGCAGUCUUGAGAAGCUUCGAAGGUCUCAAAAACCGCAUAAAGACUGUUUCUGCUUAUGAAUCGCUUACAGGGCAUGUCACGUGAUUGUCUACAGACUAUACAACACCCACCAUGUUGAUAAGAGGAUUGUGUCAUCUGACAUGUUUGUGCGCAGACUCGAUGUUCAUUUUCCUUCUCUGUUCAUCUCGGUGCUCCUGUCCUGUUUCCCCGUUGUUAGUACAUAAUACACAUACUUUGUGUUCUUCUGAGCACCAGGUAAUCAUGUCUCAAGCUCCAGCUAAACCAUGCUGGCACGUUCGCGUCGAAAAUUCGUACAUGCGUAAAUAUUUCCCUUUUGAUACCACGUUUGCUCGGAUUAUACUUAUCCGUUUCCGUUCACAAUAAAUAUAAAGAGAGUUGUGAUUUGUUCUAGCUGCUUAAACACUGAAGGCCUCACGAGAAGCUCCCUCAUUUUGUCAGCCCGUCGGUUGUCACUUCUGUGAUUAGAGUUAUUAGUUAUAUUCGUGUGUGUGUGUGUAAAUGCUAAUUUUCUGUGGUGUCAUGUUUCGUUGCGUGUGUUCCAUCCCGUUUAGGUGUAGAUCUUGGCUUUAUGCAAAACAUCGCGUUUAUCCAAUGCAUGUCCAACCGACCGAAAUUGUGUUUGCAGCCUUUUACGUGCAAGUAGUGUGUAUAGAAUAAUGUGAAGCUACAGGAAUUUAUAUGCUACCUCUGCGCUAAGUUUCUGCUCGGAAAAACAAAAACAGACGUUUAUCUCAACACAAUAUCAGGGGACGUGUGAAA